rnacentral:rRNA from 1 species
GAUUAACGCUGGCGGCAUGCCUAAUACAUGCAAGUCGAACGAAUCUUUUUAAGAUUAGUGGCGAACGGGUGAGUAAUGUAUGUUUAAUCUGCCCUAAUGUUUGGGAUAACUAUUGGAAACGAUAGCUAAUACCGAAUAGGAUAUAGGAAGGCAUCUUCUUAUGUUUAAAGGCGCGUUUGCGUCGCUUUGGGAUGAGAACAUAUCGUAUUAGCUUGUUGGUGAGGUAAAGGCUCACCAAGGCUGUGAUACGUAGCCGGACUGAGAGGUUGAACGGCCACAAUGGGACUGAGACACGGCCCAUACUCCUACGGAGGCAGCAGUAGGGAAUUUUUCACAAUGGACGAAAGUCUGAUGGAGCAAUGCCGCGUGAAGGAUGAAGGUC